rnacentral:sRNA from 2 species
AUGAUGAACCUCGUAGUUUAUGAAAGGUGAAUGAAGGUCUU